rnacentral:rRNA from 1 species
CCUACGGGGCGCACCAGGGGCGAAACCUCCGCAAUGCGAGCAAUCGCGACGGGGGAACCCCAAGUGCCACUCUUAACGGGGUGGCUUUUCUGAAGUGUAAAAAGCUUCAGGAAUAAGGGCUGGGCAAGACCGGUGCCAGCCGCCGCGGUAACACCGGCAGCUCAAGUGGUGGCCGUUUUUAUUGGGCCUAAAGCGUUCGUAGCCGGCCUGAUAAGUCUCUGGUGAAAUCCUGCAGCUUAACUGUGGGAAUUGCUGGAGAUACUAUCAGGCUUGAGGUCGGGAGAGGUUAGAGGUACUCCCAGGGUAGGGGUGAAAUCCUGUAAUCCUGGGAGGACCACCUGUGGCGAAGGCGUCUAACUGGAACGAACCUGACGGUGAGGAACGAAAGCCAGGGGCGCGAACCGGAUUAGAUACCCGGGUAGUCCUGGCCGUAAACGAUGCGGACUUGGUGUUGGGAUGGCUUCGAGCUGCUCCAGUGCCG